rnacentral:rRNA from 1 species
AUACGGAGGGAGCCAGCGUUGUCCGGAAUCACUGGGCGUAAAGGGCGUGUAGGCGGGCUGGCAAGUCAGAUGUGAAAUUCCACGGCUUAACCGUGGAGGGUCAUCUGGAACUGCCGGUCUUGAGUUCGGGAGAGGGUGGUGGAAUUCCCGGUGUAGCGGUGAAAUGCGUAGAUAUCGGGAAGAACACCGGAGGCGAAGGCGGCCACCUGGCCCGACACUGACGCUGAGGCGCGAAAGCGUGGGGAGCAAACAGGAUUAGAAACCCCAGUAGUCC